UACGUAGGGAGCAAGCGUUGUCCGGAAUCAUUGGGCGUAAAGCGCGCGUAGGCGGCCCGGUAAGUCCGCUGUAAAAGUCAAAGGCUCAACCUUUGAAUGUCAGUGGAUACUGCCGGGCUAGAGUCCGGAAGAGGCGAGUGGAACUCCUGGUGUAGCGGUGGAAUGCGCAGAUAUCAGGAAGAACACCGACGGCGAAGGCAGCUCGCUGGGACGGUACUGACGCUGAGGCGCGAAAGCGUGGGGAGCGAACAGG
rnacentral:rRNA from 1 species